AUACUCUGAUUUCUCUUCAGAUCAAAAAAUCUUUCGCCUUUUACUAAAGAUUUCCGUGGAGAGGAAUAACCAUGAGUUUUCAAUAAUUUUUCGAGGCUCUGCCCAUUGCAGGGCU